rnacentral:rRNA from 1 species
AAGCGAUCGCAAGAUCGUUAUAUUGGUUGAACUCUAGAUAACAUGCAGAUCGUAUGGUCAUGUACCGACGACAGAUCUUUCAAAUGUCUGCCCUAUCAACUUUUGAUGGUAGUAUCUAGGACUACCAUGGUUGCAACGGGUAACGGGGAAUCAGGGUUCGAUUCCGGAGAGGGAGCCUGAGAAACGGCUACCACAUCUAAGGAAGGCAGCAGGCGCGUAAAUUACCCACUCCCAGCUCGGGGAGGUAGUGACGAAAAAUAACAAUACAGGACUCAUAUCCGAGGCCCUGUAAUUGGAAUGAGUACACUUUAAAUCCUUUAACAAGGACCAAUUGGAGGGCAAGUCUGGUGCCAGCAGCCGCGGUAAUUCCAGCUCCAAUAGCGUAUAUUAAAGUUGUUGCGGUUAAAACGUUCGUAGUUGAACUUGUGCUUCAUACGGGUAGUACAACUUACAAUUGUGGUUAGUACUAUACCUUUAUGUAUGUAAGCGUAUUACCGGUGGAGUUCUUAUAUGUGUUGAGAUACUUGUAUUUUUUCAUAUGUUCCUCCUAUUUAAAAACCUGCAUUAGUGCUCUUAAACGAGUGUUAUUGUGGGCCGGUACAAUUACUUUGAACAAAUUAGAGUGCUUAAAGCAGGCUUCAAAUGCCUGAAUAUUCUGUGCAUGGGAUAAUGAAAUAAGACCUCUGUUCUGCUUUCAUUGGUUUUCAGAUCAAGAGGUAAUGAUUAAUAGAAGCAGUUUGGGGGCAUUAGUAUUACGACGCGAGAGGUGAAAUUCUUGGACCGUCGUAAGACUAACUUAAGCGAAAGCAUUUGCCAAAGAUGUUUUCAUUAAUCAAGAACGAAAGUUAGAGGUUCGAAGGCGAUCAGAUACCGCCCUAGUCUAACCAUAAACGAUGCCAGCUAGCAAUUGGGUGUAGCUACUUUUAUGGCUCUCUCAGUCGCUUCCCGGGAAACCAAAGCUUUUGGGCUCCGGGGGAAGUAUGGUUGCAAAGCUGAAACUUAAGGAAUUGACGGAAGGCACCACCAGGAGUGGAGCCUGCGCUUAAUUGACUC